rnacentral:misc_RNA from 1 species
AAAGUCGUAACAAGGUCUCCGUUGGUGAACCAGCGGAGGGAUCAUUACCGAGUUUACAACUCCCAAACCCCUGUGAACCAUACCUAUACGUUGCUUCGGCGGAUACGCCCCGGUGCCUCAGUGACUGGGAUUCAGCGCCCGCCGAGGGCCUACAAACUCUCUCUUGUAUCAUUGCAUUAUCUGAGUAUAAAUCAAAUAAAUCAAAACUUUCAACAACGGAUCUCUUGGUUCUG